AGUGAACGCUGGCGGUAGGCCUAACACAUGCAAGUCGAACGGCAGCACAGUAAGAGCUUGCUCUUACGGGUGGCGAGUGGCGGACGGGUGAGGAAUACAUCGGAAUCUACUUUUUCGUGGGGGAUAACGUAGGGAAACUUACGCUAAUACCGCAUACGACCUACGGGUGAAAGCAGGGGAUCUUCGGACCUUGCGCGAUUGAAUGAGCCGAUGUCGGAUUAGCUAGUUGGCGGGGUAAAGGCCCACAAAGGCGACGAUCCGUAGCUGGUCUGAGAGGAUGAUCAGCCACACUGGAACUGAGACACGGUCCAGACUCCUACGGGAGGAAGCAGUGGGGAAUAUUGGACAAUGGGCGCAAGCCUGAUCCAGCCAUACCGCGUGGGGGAAGAAGGCCUUCGGGUGGUAAAGCCCUUUUGUUGGGAAAGAAAAGCAGCAGGUUAAUACCCCGCUGUUCUGACGGUACCCAAAGAAUAAGCACCGGCUAACUUCGUG
rnacentral:rRNA from 1 species